CCCUUAGAUGUUCUGGGCCGCACGCGCGCUACACUGAUGCAUUCAACGAGUCUAAAACCUGCUCUGAUAGGGGUGGGUAAUCUUUUGAAUGUGCAUCGUGAUUGGGAUAGAUGAUUGCAAUUUUUCAUCUUCAACGAGGAAUGCCUAGUAAACGCAAGUCAUCAGCCUGCAUUGAUUACGUCCCUGCCCUUUGUACACACCGCCCGUCGCUCCUACCGAUUGAAUGAUCCGAUGAAUAUCAUGGAUUGAGGAUGCAAGUAGGUUCGCCUAUCUUCAUCUUCGAGAAGUGAAGUAAAUCUUAUCAUUUAGAGGAAGGAGAAGUCGUAACA
rnacentral:rRNA from 1 species